GGGGAUUUAGCUCAGGGGCAAGCACCUGCCUUGCAAGCAGACGGUUGUGAGUUCAAUCCCCA
rnacentral:tRNA from 1 species